rnacentral:lncRNA from 1 species
GUAGAAAUACUUGUGAAACUGCCUCUCCAGGUCAGCCCAUGUAAUUAUUGAGUUGGGUGGCAGUGUAGAAAACCAUUGGAAGGCCGACCCGGACAGGGAUGAUGAGAAAAGGCACACUCGUAGAGCAUCUUGCGCCGCUGCCUCUCCGCAUUGGAUGAUGAAUCUGUUCACGUGCUCUACAGUGGAGGUGUCAUCCAACCCCGAAAACUUGGUGAAAUCGGGAACUUUGUACCGAUGGGGAAACGACAGUAAAUCAUAAGUAGGUGGGUAUGGUGUCUUGUAUGUGUAGGUCUGCAUCUUUGGUUUUAAACCGAAUUGCUCUUGAAUCACCUCCGCUAUGCGUGCCGUCCAGUCUGGUUGUUGCUGAUGGACUAUCGGCUGGGGGACCGGCACGUGUUGCUAGACCGGCGGUGGGAUGACCGGGUGGUGGGCGAGAACGUGGGGCACUUGAUGUGACAUGGCCGGUUGCGUAGUCAGGAUCAGCUGUCUGAGUGAACCGACGGCUUCGUCAUAUAGCACGAUCGGCGCAACGCCCCGAAGUGCUUCCGUUGCUUCUGCC